rnacentral:rRNA from 1 species
CCUACGGGUGACAGCAGUGGGGAAUAUUGCACAAUGGGGGAAACCCUGAUGCAGCGACGCCGCGUGAGUGAAGAAGUAUCUCGGUACGUAAAGCUCUAUCAGCAGGGAAGAAAAUGACGGUACCUGACUAAGAAGCCACGGCUAACUACGUGCCAGCAGCCGCGGUAAUACGUAGGGAGCAAGCGUUAUCCGGAUUUACUGGGUGUAAAGGGAGCGUAGACGGCAGCAAAAGUCUGGAGUGAAAUCCCGGGGGUUAACCCCGGAACUGCGUUGGAAACUGUGCGGCUGGAGUGCAGGAGGGGUAAGCGGAAUUCCUAGUGUAGCGGUGAAAUGCGUAGAUAUUAGGAGGAACACCGGUGGCGAAGGCGGCUUACUGGACUGUAACUGACGUUGAGGCUCGAAAGCGUGGGGAGCAAACAGGAUUAGAUACCCGGGUAGUC